UACGGAGGGGGCUAGCGUUGUUCGGAAUUACUGGGCGUAAAGGGCGCGUAGGCGGCCUGCUAAGUCGAACGUGAAAUCCCCGGGCUCAACCCGGGAACUGCGUCCGAUACUGACAGGCUUGAAUCCGGGAGAGGGAUGUGGAAUUCCAGGUGUAGCGGUGAAAUGCGUAGAUAUCUGGAGGAACACCGGUGGCGAAGGCGGCAUCCUGGACCGGUAUUGACGCUGAUGCGCGAAAGCCAGGGGAGCAAACGGG
rnacentral:rRNA from 1 species